rnacentral:lncRNA from 1 species
AUGUCUGUCUGGAGCCUUCUUUCCCAUUGGCCUCUCGAGGAUGAAGCCGACGAUGACGAUGCAGAUGAUGAAGGAGAAGAAGUUCGUGAAGCUGGAGAAGAAUUCCGCUGAUGAUUAUCCGGUACGCCAUUAUUAAUCCUGUGAGGUGAAUUGUUGGACAAAUUUUUGAGCAGCUUCUUCUUCAGAUGAGUGUUCCAGUAGUUCUUAAUGUCGUUAUCUGUCCUCUCUGGGAGAUAUGAUGCUAUGGCUGCCCACCUGCAAUAAAAAAUCAACACUAACAGUUAAUUUUAUUUAAUUGAACAGUGCCAUAGAAGAUUAGAAAUUGCUAUAGCACCGAUCAUCAGCAACUAAUUGAAUAAUGUCUAAGUUAACCUUUUUUGCUUUGAUACACAGAUGACAGAUCUAGCUAAGUUAUUGAUUGGUUGAUGAAUUUGAUGAUGAGUUAGUAAUUACCUGUUGCCGAGAAGGGCUUGGAGAUGGGUGAUCAUUUGGUCUUCUUGAUGAGUGAAAUUGCCACGUUUGAUCCCAGGACGAAGGUAAUUAGUCCAUCUCAGCCGGCAGCUUUUGCUGCAUCUACGCAACCCUGCAUAAUAACACACAUACACAAUCUUAAACGCAAUAUUUAAGCAUAACCCAAUUUUCAUUGAUGAGAAAGCAGACAGCUUUACAAACCAGUGUUGGUGGGGAUGGAUCUCCAGUUAGAAGGGCCAUGGUGGUGAAUGUAGGAGACGAGAAGGAUGUCUUCUUCGGGAGUCCAUGGCCCUUUCUUAACUCCCCC